CAACUACUCCCUCAUCCCAAAAUUCUUGUCUUAGAUUUGUCUAGAUAUGGAUGUAUCUAAUACUAAAACGUGACUUGAUACAUCCGUAUUUAGAAAAAUCUAAGACAAGAAUUUUGGGACGGAGGGAGUAUUAU
rfam:Triticum urartu cultivar G1812 contig271918, whole genome shotgun sequence.